rnacentral:rRNA from 1 species
AGAGUUUGAUCAUGGCUCAGGAUGAACGCUGGCGGUAUGCCUAACACAUGCAAGUCGAACGAUGUCUUCGGACAUAGUGGCGGACGGGUGAGUAACGCGUGAGAAUCUGCCUCUAGGAUGGGGAUAACGGUUGGAAACGACCGCUAACACCCAAUAUGCCGUAAGGUGAAAAAUUUAUUGCCUGGAGAGGAGCUCGCGUCUGAUUAGCUAGUUGGUGGGGUAAGAGCUCACCAAGGCUUCGAUCAGUAGCUGGUCUGAGAGGAUGAGCAGCCACACUGGGACUGAGACACGGCCCAGACUCCUACGGGAGGCAGCAGUGGGGAAUUUUCCGCAAUGGGCGAAAGCCUGACGGAGCAAUACCGCGUGAGGGAGGAAUGCCUUUGGGUUGUAAACCUCUUUUCUCAGGGAAGAAGAUCUGACGGUACCUGAGGAAUAAGUAUCGGCUAACUCCGUGCCAGCAGCCGCGGUAAUACGGAGGAUGCAAGCGUUAUCCGGAAUCAUUGGGCGUAAAGCGUCCGCAGGUGGUUUCCAAAGUCUGCUGUUAAAGACUGGAGCUCAACUCCGGAACGGCGGUGGAAACUUGGAAACUAGAGUUCGGUAGGGGUAGCAGGAAUUCCCAGUGUAGCGGUGAAAUGCGUAGAUAUUGGGAAGAACAUCGGUGGCGAAGGCGUGCUACUGGACCGUAACUGACACUCAGGGACGAAAGCUAGGGGAGCGAAAGGGAUUAGAUACCCCUGUAGUCCUAGCUGUAAACGAUGGAAACUAGGUGUGGCUUGUAUCGA